CUCUGUCAGGUUGGAUGGGGAGUGUUGCUGCAAAUCUAUUUUUAGGUCUCUCUAGAGAUGUUCGAUCGGGUUCAAGUCCGGGCUCUGGCUGGGCCACUCAAGGACAUUCAGAGACUUGUCCCGAAGACCAUCCUGCGUUGUCUUGGCUCUGUGCUUAGGGUCGUUGCCCUGUUGGAAGGUGAACCUUCGUCCCAGUCUGAGGUCCUGAGUGCUCUGGAGCAGGUGUUCAUCAAGGAUCUCUCUGUACUUUGCUCCGUUCACCUUUGCCUCAUCCCCGACUGGUCUCCCAGUCCCUGCCGCUGAAAAACAUCCCCACAGCAUGAUGCUGCCACCACCAUGCUUCACCGUAGGGAUUUUUUAAUUUUACCUUUAUUUAACCAGGCAAGUCAGUUAAGAACAUAUUCUUAUUUUCAAUGACGGCCUGGGAACAGUGGGUUAACUGCCUGUUCAGGGGCAGAACGACAGAUUUGUACCUUGUCAGCUCAGGGGUUUGAACUCACAACCUUCCGGUUACUAGUCCAACGCUAACCACUAGGCUACGCUGCCGCCCCGGGAUGGUGCCAGGUCUCCUCCAGACGUGACACCUGGCAUUUCAGGCCAAAGAGUUCAAUCUUAGUUUCAUCAAAUUAAAAUUGUAUUUGUCACAUGCGUCGAAAACAACAGGUGUAAGUAGACCUUACAGUGAAAUUCUUACUUAACUUGCAGUUAAGAAAAAAAUGUUCAAUAACAGUAACAAAUAAUUAAAGAGCAGCAAGAAAUAUCAAUAGUGGCCAUAUACAGGGGGUACCGGUUAGUCGAGGUAAUAUGUACAGGGGGUACCGGUUAGUCGAGGUAAUAUGUACAGGGGGUACCGGUUAGUCGAGGUAAUAUGUACAGGGGGUACCGGUUAGUCGAGGUAAUAUGUACAGGGGGUACCGGUUAGUCGAGGUAAUAUGUACAGGGGGUACCGGUUAGUCGAGGUAAUAUGUACAGGGGGUACCGGUUAGUCGAGGUAAUAUGUACAGGGGGUACCGGUUAGUCGAGGUAAUAUGUACAGGGGGUACCGGUUAGUCGAGGUAAUAUGUACAGGGGGUACCGGUUAGUCGAGGUAAUAUGUACAGGGGGUACCGGUUAGUCGAGGUAAUAUGUACAGGGGGUACCGGUUAGUCGAGGUAAUAUGUACAGGGGGUACCGGUUAGUCGAGGUAAUAUGUACAGGGGGUACCGGUUAGUCGAGGUAAUAUGUACAGGGGGUACCGGUUAGUCGAGGUAAUAUGUACAGGGGGUACCGGUUAGUCGAGGUAAUAUAUACAGGGGGUACCGGUUAGUCGAGGUAAUAUAUACAGGGGGUACCGGUUAGUCGAGGUAAUAUGUACAGGGGGUACCGGUUAGUCGAGGUAAUAUGUACAGGGGGUACCGGUUAGUCGAGGUAAUAUGUACAGGGGGUACCGGUUAGUCGAGGUAAUAUGUACAUGUAGGUAGAGGUACAGUGACUAUAUACAGGGGGUACCGGUUAGUCGAGGUAAUAUGUACAUGUAGGUAGAGGUACAGUGACUAUGUACAGGGGGUACCGGUUAGUCGAGGUAAUAUGUACAUGUAGGUAGAGGUACAGUGACUAUGCAUCAGACAAGAUAACCUUGUUUCUCAUGGUUAGAGUCCUUUAGGUGCCUUUUACUGAGGAGUGGCUUCCCUCUGGUCACUACCAUAAAGGCCUGAUUGGUAGAGUGCUGCAGAGAUGGUUGUCCUUCUGGAAGGUUCUUCCAUCUCCACAGAGGAACUCUGGAGCUCUGUCAGUGGCCAUAGGGUUCUUGGUCACCUCCCUGAGUAAGGCCCUUCUCCCCCCAAUUGCUUAGUUUGGCUGUGCGGCCAGCUCUAGGAAGAGUCUCGGUGGUUUGAAACUUCUUCCACUUCAGAAUGAUGGAGGCCACUGUGUUCUUGGGGACCUUUAAUGCUGCAGAAAUGUUUUGGUACCCUUCCCAGGAUCUGUGCCUCGGCACAAUCCUGUCUCGGAGCUCUACAGACAAUUCCUUUGACCUCAUGGCUUGGUUUUUGCUCUGACAUGCACUGUCAACUUUGGGACAUUAUAUAGACAAGUGCGUCUUUCCAAAUCAUGUCCUAUCAACUGAAUUUACCACAGGUGACUCCAAUCAAGUUGUGUAAACAUCAAGGAUGAUCAAUGGAAACAGAAUGCACCGGAGCAUAAUUUCAAGUUCUCAUAGCAAAGGGUCUGAAUACUUAUGGAAAUAAGGUAUCAGUUUUUUUAUUUGUAAUAGUUUUGCAAAAUGUUCUAAAAACCCGUUUUCACUUUGUCAUCAUGGGGCAUUGUGUGUAGAUUGAUGAGGAUGUUAUUUAUUUCAUACAUUUUAGGAUAAGGCUGUAAUGUAACAAAAUGUGGAAAAAGUCAAGGGGUCUGAAUACUUCCCGAAAGCACUGUACAACCACAUGGCAUGAUUUAAGAAUGGCAAAGGGAUAUUUUAUUUAUUUUUAACUAGGCAAGUCAGUUAAUAAGAACACAUUCUUAAUUACAAUGACAGCCUAGGAAGACACCCAGGAAGUGGGUCAACUGCCUUGUUCAGGGGCAGAACACCAGAUUUUUAACCUUGUCGGCUCGGGGAUUCGAUCUAGCAACCUUUCGGUUACUGGCCCAGCGCUCUAACCACUAGGCUACCUACCGCCCCAUAGAGACUUUAUUCAGUCAGGUUAACACCUUCUAUAUAAACUAGUCAGCACUUGCUGUUCAGUUUAGAGGUCAAUGCCGAUACCAAUGAAAACAGGCCAUUUUUCUUUCUUUCUUUGUAAUGACAAUUACAACAAUACUGAAUGAACUUAAUAUAAUACAUCAAUAAAAUCAAUUUAGCCUCAAAUAAAUAAUGAAACAUGUUCAAUUUGGUUUAAAUAAUGCAAAAACAAAGUGUUGGAGAAGAAAGUAAAAGUGCAAUAUGUGCCAUGUAAGAAAGCUAACGUUUCAGUUCCUUGCUCAGAACAUGAGAACAUAUGAAAGAUGGUGGUUCCUUUUAACAUGAGUCUUCAAUAUUCCCUGGUAACAAGUUUUAGGUUGUAGUUAUUAUAGGACUAUUUCUCUCUAUAUCAUUUUGUAUUUCAUAUACCUUUGACUAUUGGAUGUUCUUAUCGGCACUUUAGUAUUGUGUAACAGCAUAGCUUCCGUCCCUCUCCUCGCUCCUCCCUGGGCUCGAACCAGGAACACAUCGACAACAGCCACCAUCGAAGCAUCGUUACACAUCUCUCCACAAAAGCCGUGGCCCUUGCAGAACAAGGGGAACAACCACUCCAAGGCUCAGAGCGAGUGACGUCACCGAUUGAAAAGCUAUCAGCGCGCACCACCGCUAACUAGCUAGCCAUUACACAUCGGUUACACCAGCCUAAUCUCAGGAGUUGAUAGGCUUGAAGUCAUAAACAGCUCAAUGCUUGAAGCACAGCGAAGAGCUGCUGGCAAACGCACGUAAGUGCUGUUUGAAUGAAUGCUUACGUGCCUGCUUCUGCCUACCACCGCUCAGUCAUAUACUUAGAUACUUGUCUGCUCACAGUCAGACUGCUCUAUCAAAUCAUAGACUUAAUUAUAACAUAAUAACACACAGAAAUACAAGCCUUAGGUCAUUAAUAUGGUAAAAUCCGGAAACUAUCAUUUCGAAAACAAAACGUUUACUUUUUCAGUGAAAUACGGAACCGUUCUGUAUGUUAUCUAACGGGCGGCAUCCAUAAGUCUAAAUAUUCCUGUUACAUUGCACAACCUUCAAUGUUAUGUCAUAAUUACGUAAAAUUCUGGCAAAUUAGUUUGCAAUGAGCCAGGCGGCCCAAACUGUUGCAUAUACCCUGACUCUGCAUGCAAUGAACACAAGAGAAGAGACAAUUUCCCUAGUUAAUAUUGCCUGCUAAACUUUUAACUAAAUAUGCAGGUUUAAAAAAUAUACUUCUGUGUAUUGAUUUUAAGAAAGACAUUGAUGUUUAUGGUUAGGUACAUUCGUACAACGAUUGUGCUUUUUUCGUAAAUGCGCUUUUGUUAAGUCAUCCCCCGUUUGACGAAGUUGGUCUUCACACAGUUCACAACGAGCCAGGAGGCCCAAACUGCUGCAUAUAGCCUGACUCUGUUGCACAGAACGUAAGAGAAGUGACACAAUUUCCCUAGUUAAAAUAAAUUAAUGUUAACAGGCAAUAUUAACUAAAUAUGCAGGUUUAAAAAUAUAUACUUGUGUAUUGAUUUUAAGAAAGGCGUUGAUGUAUAUGGUUAGGUACACAUUGGUGCAACAACUGCUUUUUUUCGCGAAUGCGCUUGUUAAAUAACCGUUUGGCGAAGUAGUCUAUGAUUCAAUGGUAAAUUAACAGGCACCGCAUAGAUUAUAUGCAACGCAGGACAAGCUAGAUAAACUAGUAAUAUCAUCGACCAUAUUAUCAACCGUUAACUAGUAAUUAUGUUAAGAUUGAUUGUUUUUUUUAUAAGAUACGUUAAAUGCUAGCUAGCACCUUACCGUGGCUCCUUGCUGCAGUCACAUAACAGGUAGUCAGCCUGCCAUGCAGUCACCUCGUGGAGUGCAAUAUAAUCGACAUGAUCGGUGUCCAAAAAUGCCGAUUACAGAUUGUUAUGAAAACUUGAAAUCGGCCAUUCCGAUUAAUCGGUCGACCCCUAAUUGUUGUCAAUCAAAGCACAGUAAAUAACCUACUGUCGCCAUGACUUCGAGUGGCUGGCUAUGUGAAACACAAAAAAAUAAAAUGAGUGUGUCAAAAAACAAUAAUUAGUCUAAGGGGAUUGACUCAUCAUUACCACUUACAUUAUAUGGGACAUGCAAAUUCAGGAGCAUCAUGCUCUCUCUUCCUCCUUGGUGUAAAGAAAUUCAACUGCAACUAGAGAUGUGUAUAUAAUGAGAUGCUCACUUCUCCACCCUUACAAUGGGAGUUGUUGUCGUUGUCCCAAAGGCGGGAAGGCAGGAGACCAAAUUAAGUCCAUAGAAAUGCAUAGGGCUUAUUUUGGACAGAUUUUGUCGAGAGUGAAACCUGUCGCGUCGCCUCUUCCUCUCUGCUGUUAUUCCAUUAUCGCUGGCUUUGUGACUGACUGUCCUAUCAAUAGAUCACCUGGAGAUGCAUAUUGUUCAUUCUCGCAGGAAAGGACUCGACAGACUAGCGAAUUGAAACUUUUAAAAGAAAAGUAGCCUAGUUAAUAUAAAAUGGAAAACGUAGCUUGGUUGAAAAUGAGCCUGUAACCAGCUGAUUAGUCGACAGCCGGCGUGAAUAGAAAACACUGUAUCAGUUAGACACCAGAGCAUAACAUAGUGAGUGACAUGUUCAGUGGCUACAUGACAGAGACACCACGUGGACUAUUCUCUCACAUUAAUUUAUGACAGUGGGCCUAUGGCUCAAUAUAAUCACAAUAUAAGGCAAGCAUA